rnacentral:rRNA from 1 species
GAUCAUGGCUCAGGAUGAACGCUAGCUACAGGCUUAACACAUGCAAGUCGAGGGGCAGCAUUUUUAUAGCAAUAUAAAAGAUGGCGACCGGCGCACGGGUGAGUAACACGUAUCCAACCUGCCGAUAACUCGGGGAUAACCCUUCGAAAGAAGGCCUAAUACCCGAUGGCAUAUCCCUUCCGCCUGGUGGGGAUAUUAAAGAACUUCGGCCAUCGAUGGGGAUGCGUUCCAUUAGCUUGUUGGCGGGG